rnacentral:rRNA from 1 species
CACGUAGGGCGCAAGCGUUGUCCGGAAUUAUUGGGCGUAAAGCGUGUGUAGGUGGCUGCGUAAGUCGGAUGUGAAAGCCCUGGGCUCAACUCAGGAAGUGCACUCGAUACUGCGUAGCUCGAGUACCGGAGAGGUUGGUGGAAUUCUCGGUGUAGAGGUGAAAUUCGUAGAUAUCGAGAGGAACACCUGUGGCGAAGGCGGCCAACUGGACGAGUACUGACACUGAGACACGAAAGCGUGGGGAGCAAACAGG